rnacentral:rRNA from 1 species
AGCGAACGCUGGCGGCAGGCCUAACACAUGCAAGUCGAACGAACUCUUCGGAGUUAGUGGCGGACGGGUGAGUAACACGUGGGAACGUGCCUUUAGGUUCGGAAUAACUCAGGGAAACUUGAGCUAAUACCGGAUGUGCCCUUCGGGGGAAAGAUUUAUCGCCUUUAGAGCGGCCCGCGUCUGAUUAGCUAGUUGGUGAGGUAAAGGCUCACCAAGGCGACGAUCAGUAGCUGGUCUGAGAGGAUGAUCAGCCACAUUGGGACUGAGACACGGCCCAAACUCCUACGGGAGGCAGCAGUGGGGAAUCUUGCGCAAUGGGCGAAAGCCUGACGCAGCCAUGCCGCGUGAAUGAUGAAGGUCUUAGGAUUGAAAAAUUCUUUCACCGGGGACGAUAAUGACGGUACCCGGAGAAGAAGCCCCGGCUAACUUCGUG